UUGCAAGAAGCUUAUUACAAGAGGCCAGCUUGAGAUAUUGGGAACUGAACAUUCUUUGUCGCAGCUCUUACGUAGAGCUGACUUCUGGUUCUACUAUAUUGCGUACUUCUGCGGUGGAACCAUCGGACUUGUGUACAGCAACAACCUCGGACAGAUUGCUCAGUCUUUAGGACAAAGCUCAAAGACUACAACUCUUGUCACACUUUAUUCUUCCUUCUCAUUCUUUGGAAGAUUACUCUCGGCAACACCGGACUAUAUCCGAGCGUAAGUGCAUUUGAUCCAUAUUAAUUUAUCGUAUUUAUUAAUUUAUCAAAUAUUAAUUUAUAGAGUUUAUAGUUUGGUUUUGCGGGUUUUGAUUUGGAUUAAGUUGUGCAGGAAGGUUUAUUUUGCAAGAACCGGGUGGUUAGCAAUCGCGCUUUUGCCAACACCAAUCGCGCUUUUCUUGCUCGCAUCAUCAGGAACCGCGUCAGCGUUACAAGCGGGAACAGCUCUGAUUGGUCUAAGCUCAGGAUUCAUAUUCGCAGCAGCUGUUUCGAUCACAUCAGAGCUCUUUGGACCAAACAGUGUUGGAGUUAACCACAACAUCUUGAUCACAAACAUACCGAUAGGAUCGUUGAUCUAUGGAUUCUUGGCUGCAUUGGUCUAUGACUCGCAUGGUUCGACUGCGAUCAAAUCAAUGAAAGACUCCGUCGUGUGUAUGGGACGGGGUUGCUAUUACUUGACCUUUGUGUGGUGGGGAUGCUUGUCGGUUCUUGGACUCGCUUCUAGUCUUGUGUUGUUUAUUAGGACUAGAAGAGCUUAUCAACGGUUUGAACAAGCUCGGAUAAGUUCAAAUAUUGAUUCAUAGAAAUUUUACCUUCAUUCCCCGACGGCUUGUGUAUAUCACAGUAUAUGUAGGGAUCUAUAUUUAACAGACGUAUUAAUGGACUGUUAUGGAUUUUGGCUGAUAAUAUUUUGUUGUCGCUGAUUUAUUUUAGUCUCAAAUUCUGAUAAUUGUUAAAUUAUCCUAUCCUUUCUACAAUAAUAUUAUUUUUUUUGGGUGAGAAUUUACGUUUGACAGCGCUACUUGCAACUAAAUCAUUUUAUGCUCUUUCUUUUAUGGUGGUGGAAACCUUCCUGACUGAUAAAUUAAUGAUACCGUUUUUAAAAAUACAGUUUUUAAUUAAGAUAUAAAAAUUUAAAAAAUUAUUUUGCUCGAGAAAGCAAUGUAUUUGGAUGUGCAAUCUCUUGUAACCGUUAUUUCUGAAGUGAUUUUUUAGUACCCCAUCAGUUAUGAAAUGAUUACAUUACUGAAGACUCACCUUUUCAUUACAGACAUAUAUAUAUAUAUUAAAAUGUUGAUAAAUCAAAGAUACUCGAGUAAUUAAAACUAUACUUUACUAAUUUAAGGGAAGAUACAAAACCUCUGAUCCUUAAUACAAAGAAAAAGCCUCUCAUAAGCUAAAGCCAUCUUACUCGCCGUAAACAUCUCCGCCGCAUACUCUUUACACUUCCUCCCUCUCUCCGCCAAUCUCUCCGCUCCUUCCGCCACCGCAACUUCCAUAACCGCCGUCAAAGCCUCCACAUUCGGCGCAAACAUAAACCCAAACUCAUCAUUCACCACAAUACUCCUCUUUAUGCUCGCAUACCUCGACGCCAUCACCGGUUUACCACUCAACAUCGCUUCCAUCAAAGUCAAAUCAAGACCUUGUGGUCUAAGCGUUGGAUUCACAAACAAAUCGAUCCCGUUGUAGAAACCCUUGAGCUCAUUUGGGUUCAGAGAUCCCAAAAUAGUAACUUUCUCGCCAAGUUCCUUGUAACGGUUCUCCCAUGGUCCUGACCCAGCUACCACAAGGUGAACAUUUGAAUGUGUUUCGAUUAGUUUUGCGAAGGCUUCGUAGAGAAUCGGAUGUCCCUUGUCUUUCACCAAUCUCCCUGCAGCUCCUAAGACAAUAGCCGAUGAGUUUUCUUGUAACCCUAGUUUUGACCUAAACAGAGAACGUAGCUUCUUGUCUGAUUUGAACCCAUUUUCGUCGACUCCGUUGAGGAUCACAUGAACCCUUUUCUCCGGGAUUUGGUAAACGUCUCUCAGCAUUUCCCCGCAGCUGUCGCUGAUUGCUAUGUGAUGAGCGUAGUUGUGGAAGAAUCUGAUUUCUUGAGAAAUUGAAAUAUAAUAUAGCCACUUCAUAGUUAAAUGUACAAGUGUUUUUAUAAUAUAUACUGUUAAUUUCUGUGAAAUUUAAGUAUAUGAUUUAUUUUGUAAAACUAUUAAAUAUGAUAUGAUAAAAGUUAUAAAACUGCGAUAUUUUCAUGUGGAAAUAGUUUUAUUGCAUAUCAUGCAAAUUAUAUUUGAAGUUAUAAGACAUAGUUCUUUCUAAUCAGAAGUACUUUUAUAUUUCACUUAAUUUAGCUAAAAACAUAGAAAGAAUGUUUUUUUAGUUUAUAAAAUCAAAUAGACAUGAACAUUGGCUAUCAAUUUAGGUACAUAUUUUUUUAGGGUAUUGUUUUUUUUUUUUUUGAAAUAAAGUUCCGCUUGAAUAUUAUAAAUUUAUGUGUCAUUUUGAGUUGAGUCAUUCUGAGUCUGGAUGAGUUCGGUUAUGAUUUAUAUGAAUCUAAAAAAUAUCUAAAUAACAAAUAUAUAUAUAAAAUAUGUUCGGAUAUUUGUACCAAAAAUAAUCAUAUUAUCCGAUUCGGUCCAAGUCGUUUAAAUACAAUUAGUUAUAUUACGACACAUCUAAAAUAUAUAACACUAAUAAUGAAAUAAAAUAUCAAUGUAAAAAAUGUAAAAACCAAUCUUAGUGUGGGUGCGCGGAUAAUCUCUAGUUAUAUUUGAAGUAUAAGACAUAGUUCUUUUUAAUCAGAAAUAGUUUUAUGUGGAAAGUUUAAUGAAUUUUCUAUUUCUUUGAAAUGACUUUCAUGUUAGUUGUUAUAGCUUAGAGUUUUUGACCCAAAAAAAAGAGUUAUUCAUAUGUUCAUACAUAUAAUUUUGUCACGAUUCACAAAUGAGACUAAACCAAAACUUUUCGAGUCACAAACUGGGUGACGAUUGAUUGGUAGAUAGGUAGUUCACAGUUGUUUUUUUGUUUGUCGAUUUUUCUUAUCUUUUUUUUUCUUCGUAAAUGCAUUAACUUUUAGGAACUUCCAUAAAACUUGUUGGUCCAACAAGUCUUCUUCUUGGCAUGUUCGGGCUUGUCUCGUGGUUGAUGGCUAUUUCGAAAAUCUGCAACUAUUUCAUAAUUUAAAAUAUGACGUCAAAAAUGAAUAUUUAUUAUCCUUUAUAUAAAAUUCUUAUUGUCUAAAUCAUAUAUAGAUAUGCAAAAAAUGGCCACCGGAUUUUUUUAUUAAACGUCUUUUUCUGAUGAGUAAGCUGUUUGUGGUUGAGAAAAAUCAAUGAAAUAGAUAUACAAAUAUUAAAUGUGACGCUUUUAGUAGUUAAAUGUUGUCUUUCUCAAACAGUCAAACUCAAUCAUUAUUGGGGUAAAAUAAUCAAAAACAAAAUUUGUAAAAUAAUAAAUCAAAUUUAGUAGUUAGAUUUUUUUAAUUUCUUGUCUCUGAAGAAACUUUGAUUGAUAUUGGCUCGUUACUAUACAGGUGUUUCUCUGUUGCUUACUUGCUGGUCUAAGUAUCUGUUGGUUCAACACAGUCUGCUUUGUGCUCUGCAUCAGCAACUUCCCUGCAAACAGAGCGCUUGCUCUGUCCAUCACAGUAAGCUUCAACGGUGUAAGCGCUGCCUUAUACACACUUGCUUACAACGCAAUCAACCCAACCUCUCCAGAGCUCUACCUUCUCUUAAACGCUCUCAUACCACUCGUUGUCUCCUUCACUGCAAUCAUCCCGAUACUUCGUCAACCGCCUUUCGAGCCUCUUCCACCAGAUGGAGUUCGCCGCGACUCUCUCAUGUUUCUACUGCUCAACAUUCUCGCCGCUCUAAACGGUGUUUACCUCCUCCUCUUUGAGUCAAACUCCUCUGAUAUAACCUCUGCUCGUCUCCUCUUUGGUGGUGCAAUCAUCCUCUUGGUCCUCCCUUUAUGUAUCCCCGGUUUAGUCAUCGCCCGUAACUGGUAUCAUCGCACGAUCCACACAAGUUUCCGCCUUGAAGGUUCCGGUUUCAUUCUCGUUCAUCCUGAUGAGCUUGAGCUGCAUAAAGGAAUGGUUGCACAUGAAGCCAAUAGAGAAGGCUACCAGUUGCUAAACGACGACAUUGUGCAAAACCUUGUUGUUAAGACUACAGCUCCAGAGGAAGGUGACACUGAUGAGUCCUGUUGCAAGAAGCUUAUUACAAGAGGCCAGCUUGAGAUAUUGGGAACUGAACAUUCUUUGUCGCAGCUCUUACGUAGAGCUGACUUCUGGUUCUACUAUAUUGCGUACUUCUGCGGUGGAACCAUCGGACUUGUGUACAGCAACAACCUCGGACAGAUUGCUCAGUCUUUAGGACAAAGCUCAAAGACUACAACUCUUGUCACACUUUAUUCUUCCUUCUCAUUCUUUGGAAGAUUACUCUCGGCAACACCGGACUAUAUCCGAGCG
rnacentral:lncRNA from 1 species